rnacentral:rRNA from 1 species
AGGAUCAACGCUGGCGGCGUGCCUAAUGCAUGCAAGUCGGACGGGGUCGGCUUCGGUCGGCUCACGUGGCGGACGGGUGAGGAACGCGUGGGAAACCUGCCCUGGGGUGGGGGAUAGCCCUCGGAAACGGGGGAUAAGACCGCAUGUGCUUGCCGGGCAGUUGGCCGGGUAAGGAAAACACUUCGGUGUGCCCUAGGAGGGUCCUGCGGCCGAUUAGCUAGUUGGCGGGGUAACGGCCCACCAAGGCGGUGAUCGGUAGCUGGUCUGAGAGGACGGCCAGCCACACGGGGGACUGAGACACGGCCCCGACUCCUACGGGAGGCAGCAGCAAGGAAUUUCCCAAUGGGCGAAAGCCUGAGGGAGCAACGCCGCGUGGGGGAGGACGCCCUUCGGGGUGUAAACCCCUUUUCUCGGGGACGAACGGCAAUGACGGUACCCGAGGAAGAAGGCCCGGCUAACUACGUGCCAGCAGCCGC